UUCUGAAGCGCCUGUUGGCCUUUGGUUCCGUCUGAGCUCUGGAGGCAGUGACCACUUUCGAAAAAACAAGAGAAGAUGGAUUGCUGCUCCUUAAUAAAGUGUGCAAGAUAUCGACUGAUGAGAUCCUGGGGAAGAGGAUGAGUUUCCUCAUUGUUCCAGACUUUGGAAUUCUACAGAGUUCAAAUGCACCUUCAAGAACCCGAGCAAUACCAUGAGUCCCAUUUCGUCUUAACAUGUCUUGCUAAUGAAGAGGUCGACUUGAAACUGAAUUGUUGCUACUGUCAAGAUGCAGAAGAUGGCACAGCAAACGUGGAGACUCGAAAGAGGCAUUUGAGUAUUUGACUCCUGUUGACUAAAACCUGCCACCUGUUGUUACGCUGCGCAGCUGGGCACCACCACUGAGAGGAGACAGAAGAAUUGCAGUAACAAUAACAAUAACAUCCCAGGUUUCACAAAUAGGUCCUCCAGGCUAGUCUCAUAGUCAGAGACAAUGGAUACAUUAGGACCCCUUCACUACUGAUUAGAACAGGUGUCUCAAGGCAGUAAAUAAAAAAAGAGGAUACUUUAGAAAAUUGUAUAAUAGGCGUCUACCAAGCUUUUCUAACACCAAAGCAGAACAAACAGGUGGCAAAUGGAAAUAAAUCUAGUUAAAACAUAAGGAAGGUCUUUAGAGCCUAAACUCUGCGCUGUUCUUUGUUUAAUGUAACAUAAAAGGAGUCCUAACACAUGAGGCCUGGUCAAUUGGUCAUGAUUUGAAUCAAUCACUCUUGCAAGAGGAAGUGGCCCCAAGAGAAGAAGACAGCAAACCCUUAUGCUUGUUGAGCCAAAGGCAGAGCAACGCUCAGAUGUGGAAACAACUCUAAAACCUCACCUAGCGAUUCAAUUUCCUUAAAACACUCAUCUAGCAGUUCCCAGAGUUUUUCUGCCAAGUUUCUUUGGCGUUGGACAGUUUCCCAGAGCCCCUCAACUCAUAGUUACGUUUCCUCUCCCCUCAUGCCCACAUCCAGAUUUCACAAUCUCCCCUAACUGUCUGCUUUUUCCACGCCUCCCACUCAUUCUCAUUCCCAUUCACUGGCCUAUGCACUACUAGUCCACUUCUAUCUCUUCCACAUACUCAAAUGUCAUUCAGGAAAAAGGACUUACUGAGGGGGUUGUUGUGUGCAAAGCAUUAGAAGUUACCAAGAAAGAACAAGAUAAAGUGGAUAAAACUUGGGCCUAGCAGUCA